rnacentral:rRNA from 1 species
UGAGGAAUAUUGGUCAAUGGGCGAGAGCCUGAACCAGCCAAGUCGCGUGAAGGAAGAAGGAUCUAUGGUUCGUAAACUUCUUUUGCAGGGGAAUAAAGUGCAGGACGUGUCCUGUUUUGUAUGUACCCUGAGAAUAAGGAUCGGCUAACUCCGUGCCAGCAGCCGCGGUAAUACGGAGGAUCCGAGCGUUAUCCGGAUUUAUUGGGUUUAAAGGGUGCGUAGGUGGUUUGAUAAGUCAGCGGUGAAAGUUUGCAGCUUAACUGUAAAAGUGCCUUCGGUACUGGCCGCCCUGAGUGUGGAUGAAUGAGGCGGAAUUUGUGGUGUAGCGGUGAAAUGCUUAGAUAUCACGAGGAACUCCGAUUGCGCAGGCAGCUUACUAAGCCACAACUGACGCUCAUGCACGAAGGCGUGGGGAUCAAACA